CGAAAGCCUGACGGAGCAACGCCGCGUGAGGGAUGGAGGCCUUUGGGCUGUAAACCUCUUUUCUCAAGGAAGAAGAUCUGACGGUACUUGAGGAAUAAGCCACGGCUAAUUCCGUGCCAGCAGCCGCGGUAAUACGGGAGUGGCAAGCGUUAUCCGGAAUUAUUGGGCGUAAAGCGUCCGCAGGCGGCCGUUUAAGUCUGUUGUUAAAUCGUGGAGCUCAACUCCAUCACGGCAAUGGAAACUGUUCGGCUUGAGUAUGGUAGGGGCAGAGGGAAUUUCCGGUGUAGCGGUGAAAUGCGUAGAUAUCGGGAAGAACACCAGUGGCGAAAGCGCUCUGCUGGGCCAUUACUGACGCUCAUGGACGAAAGCCAGGGGAGCGAAAGGGAUUAGAUACCCCUGUAGUCCUGGCCGUAAACGAUGAACACUAGAUGUUGGGGGAAUCGACCCCCUCGGUGUCGUAGCUAACGCGUUAAGUGUUCCGCCUGGGGAGUACGCACGCAAGUGUAAAACUCAAAGGAAUUGACGGGGGCCCGCACAAGCGGUGGAGUAUGUGGUUUAAUUCGAUGCAACGCGAAGAACCUUACCAAGGCUUGACAUCCUGCGAAUCUCUAAGAAAUUAGAGAGUGCCUUCGGGAACGCAGUGACAGGUGGUGCAUGGCUGUCGUCAGCUCGUGUCGUGAGAUGUUGGGUUAAGUCCCGCAACGAGCGCAACCCACGUUUUUAGUUGCCAGCAUUCAGUUGGGCACUCUAGAAAGACUGCCGGUGACGAACCGGAGGAAGGUGUGGACGACGUCAAGUCAUCAUGCCCCUUACGCCUUGGGCUACACACGUACUACAAUGCUGCGGACAAAGAGUAGCGAUCUUGCGAAAGUUAGCUAAUCUCAUAAACCGUGGCUCAGUUCAGAUCGUAGGCUGCAACUCGCCUACGUGAAGGAGGAAUCGCUAGUAAUCGCAGGUCAGCAUACUGCGGUGAAUACGUUCCCGGGCCUUGUACACACCGCCCGUCACACCAUGGAAGUUGGCCAUGCCCGAAGUCGUUACUCUAACCUUUUGGAAGAGGGCGCCGAAGGCAGGGCUAAUGACUGGGGUGAAGUCGUAACAAGGUAGCCGUGGCGGAAGCUGCGGCUGGAUCACCUCCUAA
rnacentral:rRNA from 1 species